rnacentral:rRNA from 1 species
GACGAACGCUGGCGGCGUGCUUAACACAUGCAAGUCGAACGGAAAGGCCCUGCUCUUGUGGGGUGCUCGAGUGGCGAACGCGUGAGUAACACGUGAGUAACCUGCCCUUGACUUUGGGAUAUCUUCAGGAAACUGGGGCUAAUACCGGAUAGGAGCUCCUGCUGCACGGUGGGGGUUGGAAAGUUUCGGCGGUUGGGGAUGGACUCGCGGCUUAUCAGCUUGUUGGUGGGGUGGUGGCUUACCAAGGCGUUGACGGGUAGCCGGCCUGAGAGGGUGACCGGCCACAUUGGGACUGAGGUACGACCCAGACUCCUACGGGAGGCAGCAGUGGGGAACUUUGCACAAUGGGCGGAAGCCUGAUGCAGCAACGCCGCGUGCGGGAUGACGGCCUUCGGGUUGUAAACCGCGUGCGCCUGUGACGAAGCGCGAGUGACGGUAAUGGGUAAAGAAGCACCGGCUAACUACGUG